UCCCACAAUUUAUGCAGGGAAGUUCUACC
rnacentral:piRNA from 1 species